ACGAACGCUGGCGGCGUGCUUAACACAUGCAAGUCGAACGGGUUUCAAUGAGGUAGCAAUACCUCAUUGGGAUUAGUGGCGGACGGGUGAGUAACACGUAGGUAACCAACCCUCAAGCGGGGGACAACCCGGGGAAACUCGGGCUAAUACCGCAUAAGACCACGGGCUGGGAGGUUUGUGGUAAAAGUAGCAAUACACUUGAGGCUGGGCCUGCGGCCUAUCAGGUAGUUGGUAAGGUAAAGGCUUACCAAGCCUAAGACGGGUAGCCGGACUGAGAGGUUGAACGGCCACACUGGAACUGAGAUACGGUCCAGACUCCUACGGGAGGCAGCAGUGGGGAAUUUUGCGCAAUGGGCGAAAGCCUGACGCAGCGACGCCGCGUGGAGGAUGAAGGUUUUCGGAUUGUAAACUCCUUUUGUUGGGGAAGAUAAUGACGGUACCCGAUGAAUAAGCCACGGCUAACUCUGU
rnacentral:rRNA from 1 species